rnacentral:misc_RNA from 1 species
AAGAUACUCGAUGUCAUGAUGGCGAUACAAUGAAAAAUGAAGUUAGUAUUGAUCGUAACGAUAAUAAUUAUGUUAGCGGUGACAAUAAUAAUAAUAAUAUGGGUACAAGUCAUACUCAUGAUGUUAGCACAAAUAGUACUAGUGGUGGAGGUGGUGGUCAUCAUCAUGGUGAUACAAGUGGGAAUACUGGUGGUGGUUGGAGCAAUGAUCACGGUGGUGCUAGUUGGAGUGGCGGCGAUCACGGUGGUGGCGGUUUUAGUGGUGGUGGUGAUACUGGUGGUUUUAGUGGUGGAGGUUGGUGAUCACGAAUUUAGGUGCAAUUCUAUAAAUGUAAAAGUCAAUUAAAAAUUUUGACAUUUGUUUGGUACUACUAU